UACUUCCUACGGGGGGCAGCAGUGGGGAAUAUUGGACAAUGGGGGGAACCCUGAUGCAGCGACGCCGCGUGAGUGAAGAAGUAAUUCGUUAUGUAAAGCUCUAUCAGCAGGGAAGAAUAAAUGACGGUACCUGAGUAAGAAGCCCCGGCUAACUACGUGCCAGCAGCCGCGGUAAUACGUAGGGGGCAAGCGUUAUCCGGAUUUACUGGGUGUAAAGGGAGCGUAGACGGCGAUGCAAGCCAGAUGUGAAAGCCAGCGGCUCAACUGCGGU
rnacentral:rRNA from 1 species